rnacentral:rRNA from 1 species
AGCGGCGGACGGGUGAGUAAUGCCUAGGAAUCUGCCUGGUAGUGGGGGAUAACGUUCGGAAACGGACGCUAAUACCGCAUACGUCCUACGGGAGAAAGCAGGGGACCUUCGGGCCUUGCGCUAUCAGAUGAGCCUAGGUCGGAUUAGCUAGUUGGUGGGGUAAUGGCUCACCAAGGCGACGAUCCGUAACUGGUCUGAGAGGAUGAUCAGUCACACUGGAACUGAGACACGGUCCAGACUCCUACGGGAGGCAGCAGUGGGGAAUAUUGGACAAUGGGCGAAAGCCUGAUCCAGCCAUGCCGCGUGGUGUGAAGAAGGUCUUCGGAUUGUAAAGCACUUUAAGUUUGGGAGGAAGGGCAGUUGCCUAAUACGUAACUGUUUUGACGUUACCGACAGAAUAAGCACCGGCUAACUCUGUGCCAGCAGCCGCGGUAAUACAGAGGGUGCAAGCGUUAAUCGGAAUUACUGGGCGUAAAGCGCGCGUAGGUGG